GAUCCUACGGGGCGCAGCAGUGGGGAAUAUUGCGCAAUGGGCGAAAGCCUGACGCAGCGACGCCGCGUGAGGGAUGAAGGUCUUCGGAUCGUAAACCUCUGUCAGCAGGGAAGAACGGUCACUGUGUUAAUCAGCAGUGAAUUGACGGUACCUGCAAAGGAAGCACCGGCUAACUCCGUGCCAGGAGCCGCGGUAAUACGGAGGGUGCGAGCGUUAAUCGGAAUUACUGGGCGUAAAGCGCUCGUAGGCGGGAUGUCAAGAC
rnacentral:rRNA from 1 species